rnacentral:rRNA from 1 species
UUCCAGACUCCUACGGGAGGCAGCAGUGGGGAAUAUUGCACAAUGGGGGAAACCCUGAUGCAGCAACGCCGCGUGAGUGAAGAAGUAUUUCGGUAUGUAAAGCUCUAUCAGCAGGGAAGAAGAAGGACGGUACCUGACUAAGAAGCCCCGGCUAACUACGUGCCAGCAGCCGCGGUAAUACGUAGGGGGCGAGCGUUAUCCGGAUUUAUUGGGUUUAAAGGGUGCGUAGGCGGACGCUUAAGUCAGCGGUAAAAUGGCGGGGCUCAACCUCGUCGAGCCGUUGAAACUGGGUGCCUUGAGUGGGCGAGAAGUACGCGGAAUGCGUGGUGUAGCGGUGAAAUGCAUAGAUAUCACGCAGAACUCCGAUUGCGAAGGCAGCGUACCGGCGCCCAACUGACGCGGAAGCACGAAGGCGUGGGUAUCGAACAGGAUUAGAUACCCCAGUAAC